rnacentral:rRNA from 1 species
UACGGAGGGUGCAAACGUUGUUCGGAUUUACUGGGCGUAAAGCGCGUGUAGGCUGCUUCGCAAGUCGGAUGUGAAAGCCCUGGGCUCAACCCAGGAAGUGCAUUCGAAACUGCAGAGCUGGAGUCCUGGAGAGGAAGGCGGAAUUCUCGGUGUAGAGGUGAAAUUCGUAGAUAUCGAGAGGAACACCGGUGGCGAAGGCGGCCUUCUGGACAGUGACUGACGCUGAGACGCGAAAGCGUGGGGAGCAAACAGG